rnacentral:rRNA from 1 species
UACGUAGGGUGCGAGCGUUAAUCGGAAUUACUGGGCGUAAAGCGUGCGCAGGCGGCGGCUCAAGUCAGGUGUGAAAUCCCCGGGCUUAACCUGGGAAUUGCGCUUGAAACUAGGCUGCUUGAGUGUGGCAGAGGGGGGUGGAAUUCCGCGUGUAGCAGUGAAAUGCGUAGAGAUGUGGAGGAACACCGAUGGCGAAGGCAGCCCCCCUGGGUCAACACUGACGCUCAUGCACGAAAGCGUGGGGAGCAAACAGG